AGAAUCAACGCUGGCGGCGUGCCUAACACAUGCAAGUCGAACGAGAAAGUGGAGCAAUCCAUGAGUACAGUGGCGCACGGGUGAGUAACACGUGACUAACCUACCCUCGAGUGGGGAAUAACCUCGGGAAACCGGGGCUAAUACCGCAUAACAUCCACGGAUCAAAUGCGUAAGCAGCUUGAGGAGGGGGUCGCGGCUGAUUAGCUAGUUGGCGGGGUAAUGGCCCACCAAGGCAGUGAUCAGUAGCCGGCCUGAGAGGGCGCACGGCCACACUGGAACUGAAACACGGUCCAGACUCCUACGGGAGGCAGCAGUGGGGAAUUUUGCGCAAUGGGGGAAACCCUGACGCAGCAACGCCGCGUGGAGGAUUAAGCCCCUUGGGGUGUAAACUCCUUUCGAUCGGGACGAUUAUGACGGUACCGGAAGAAGAAGCACCGGCUAACUCUGCGCCAGCAGCCGC
rnacentral:rRNA from 1 species